ACGUGUGCACCUCUAGCACAAGUUACGAAACUGCACUGAAAUGAUAAACCACGUCUCUCUUCCAGGCCACUGUGAGCUCCAUGGGAGGCUGCACCAGGCUUUGUCUUCCCAACCCAUUGUUUUGAAGAGUGCCCGGCACACUGCAGGUGCUCAAGAACUGCCUAUGGAAUUCAUGAACGAGGUAAAGCAGAUUUACAGUAAAAAGAAAAUCUUGGUGACUGAGUUCAUGAGACAUUGGCAAAUGGUAUGCCCUAUGCAGACCACAGGAACUCAGCCUCCAACCACAGCGCCUGACCAAAGUGCUGGCAUACAGGACCCAUGUAUCUGAGGAGAAGUAAACCAAGAAACAGCCUCUCAACUACGAAGAACAAACUGAUGGUGAGCACCAGGACAGGGGUGUGGGGGUAGAUGGGUGAAA